rnacentral:piRNA from 1 species
UGGCCAAAUCGUGCAUGCG